UAAAUAAAAUAAUAAAAUAAGAAUUAAAAACAAAAGAAUCUUAAAAUAAAUUCUAUAUCAGACAGGAAUCCAGUGAAAAGACAUUACAAUUGGGGUAAUACUCAUGCUUAAGUAGACCCAAAGUCUAGCUGCAGAAUUUUGCACCAUUUGUAAUGAGCCAAACACAAAAACCACACAGGAUGAUAAAGUAGGUGUUGCCCUGACAUGCAGGCUUUGUAAAAUACUUUCUGUUUUCUAGUAGAAGAACUUGAAGUAGAGAAGCUUUCACUUUUAUUUUACACAAAACUCAACUCUUCACUUUUGUCCAUUUUCAUCAGAAUUAUUCUUGUGUGCUUCUUAUGACCAGAAUAUAAACCAAAAAUCUAGGGGGGAAAUCGUUUGAAGAAGAACAUUUGAAUAGCCAAAACGCCCUGCAAAAAAAAAAAAAAAAGUUCUUACUUGCAUCACGUCGACACUAACCGACACUGUGGCUUUAGCCUGUGACUCAUAAGGGGGUUAAAAGGUGAAACAGGAAAUAGAAGCAGAAGGGCACAGAAGAAGCUGACAGAAACUCUGAAGGUGUUCUCAAGAAAUUUUAACACAAGAAAAUACAGAUUUUAGAGCUGCAAUGUUUACUUGGACUGAGAUUGUGUUCUUACUAUUUGCAGUCAACAAGAAUUUUGACCCGAUUGAGAAAAGUGACUCAGGCAUACCAUCAAAAGAUAAUUUGAGACCUGGAGACCUUCUUAUGAGGGAAACAAAUAUUGGACUUUAUCACAGUGGGGUUUACGAUGGAAAACUUGUCAUUGAGUUCGCAGCUUGCCACAGGAAAGAGGAAAACAAAUUAUACAUGGUGACCUGUAGGAGCCACUAUUUGAAGGG